AGCAGCGUGGCUUAGUGGAAAGAGCAUGGGCUUGAGAGUCAGAAGAUGUGGGUUCUAAUCCUGGCUCUGCUA
rfam:Ornithorhynchus anatinus chromosome 10, whole genome shotgun sequence.